rnacentral:rRNA from 1 species
AACGAACGUUAGCGGCGCGCCUAACACAUGCAAGUCGCACGAGAAAGGGCUUCGGCUCCGGUAAAGUGGCGCACGGGUGAGUAACACGUGGGUAACCUGCCCUCGAGCGGGGGAUAACAUUCCGAAAGGAGUGCUAAUACCGCAUAAGACCACGACCUCGAAAGAGGAUGGGGUCAAAGCUGGCCUCCAUACAUAAGCUAGCACUUGAGGAUGGGCCCGCGGCGCAUCAGCUAGUUGGUGAGGUAACGGCUCACCAAGGCGAAGACGCGUAGCUGGUCUGAGAGGAUGAUCAGCCACACUGGAACUGAGACACGGUCCAGACUCCUACGGGAGGCAGCAGUGGGGAAUCUUGCGCAAUGGGCGAAAGCCUGACGCAGCGACGCCGCGUGAGUGAUGAAGGCCUUCGGGUUGUAAAGCUCUGUGGGGCGAGACGAAUAAGUGCAGCCUAAUACGCUGCAUGAUGACGGUAUCGCCUUAGCAAGCACCGGCUAACUCUGUGCCAGCCGCCGCCGUAA